rnacentral:rRNA from 1 species
CAGUAGCCGCGGUAAUACAGAGGAUUUAAGCGUUAUCCGGAAUGAUUGGGCGUAAAGCGUCUGUAGGUGGCUUUUCAAGUCCGUCGUCAAAUCCCAGGGCUCAACCCUGGACAGGCGGUGGAAACUACCAAGCUGGAGUACGGUAGGGGCAGAGGGAAUUUCCAGUGGAGCGGUGAAAUGCGUUGAGAUCGAAAAGAACACCAACAGCGAAAGCACUCUGCUGGGACGACACUGACACUAAGAGACGAAAGCUAGGGGAGCAAAUGGGAUUAGAUACCCCAGUAGUCCCUGUCUCUUAUAC